UGCAAUGGAGUGUAAGAGCAUCACUUCCUGACUGGUUAAUGCAUAUCUCUACAGGUCGCUAAUUCAAAGGAUCCGGAAAAGAUCAAGUCUGAAGCUAAGAAAAAAAGUGGAUGCCAUAUGCAUCUCUGAUUUAACUGGUGAAGGGUUAGAUGAUUUCUCUGUAAUGCAGUUCAGGAAGAACUAAAGGAAUACAUCAAAGGAUGGAGCUUUGGUUAGAGCUCAUGUUCCACUCCGCUUUGCAAGGCUUCUCACUCCAAUGAGACAAACUUGAGUGUCAUAGCUGUUUUCAGGGCUUCUUCCAAGUUGUUCAAAAAGGUUUGAGCGUUUGAAGAAGGCACGAUUUUUUCUGGCCUUGCUGUGAUUGAUGCUUACAGCUACAGAGACAAGUGGCCAUGAAUGACUUUGGUGCCGAAACUUUUUGGCUCCACUUGUUAACAUAUGGAGCUAUAUGAGCAAGAUGCUGAUGUUGUCAAUUACACAAUCCAGAGCAAAACUACUGCUUGAAGCUUAAUGUUGGUGAAGAUGAUCUUGCACCAGCUUUCAUGUCAGCUCGGGUUCAAGUACCUCGGAGUAGGAGCCCUCUUGCACGAGCAACCAUCUAUGUAAAAAGUCUAUUGUAAAUAAGAAUUAAGUGUGUUCGGUAGUACUUUUCCCUUCUUUGUAGUAUGUGGAAAUUUGUUGCUCUGCCCAACAAGGUCCGGCUUAUUCUUAGCCAGAGAAAUAAAAGUUUUGAUUCAAAACCAAUUUCUAGUUGUAUAAUUAUUA